AGUGAACGCUGGCGGUAGGCCUAACACAUGCAAGUCGAACGGCAGCACAGUAAGAGCUUGCUCUUACGGGUGGCGAGUGGCGGACGGGUGAGGAAUACAUCGGAAUCUACUUUUUCGUUGGGGAUAACGUAGGGAAACUUACGCUAAUACCGCAUACGCCCUACGGGUGAAAGCAGGGGAUCUUCGGAACUUGCGCGAUUGAAUGAGCCGAGGUCGGAUUAGCUAGUUGGCGGGGUAAAGGCCCACCAAGGCGACGAUCCGUAGCUGGUCUGAGAGGAUGGUCAGCCACACUGGAACUGAGACACGGUCCAGACUACUACGGGAGGCAGCAGUGGGGUAUAUUGGACAAUGGGCGCAAGCCUGAUCCAGCCAUACCGCGUGGGUGAAGAAGGCCUUCGGGUUGUAAAGCCCUUUUGUUGGGAAAGAAAAGCAGCAGGUUAAUACCCCGCUGUUCUGACGGUACCCAAAGAAUAAGCACCGGCUAACUUCGUG
rnacentral:rRNA from 1 species